rnacentral:misc_RNA from 1 species
AAGUCGUAACAAGGUUUCCGUAGGUGAACCUGCGGAAGGAUCAUUACCUUUCAAUGCAGCAGAAUGGGGAUGGUUGAGUUUCUCGCCUCUCUGUUCUGCCUGUAUUCUACCCUUGUUUGUCAUAUACUAUUAUUUCCUCGGCAGACUUGCUUGCCGAGUGAAACCAAUUAUAACCUAUUUAAUUUUCAAUCAGCGUCUGAACAAAAUUAAUAAUUACAACUUUCAACAACGGAUCUCUUGGUUCUG